GGAGAGGUCGACCACCCUGGCGCAAUUGAAAUGACCUCUUCAUCAGUUCAUAUACUUGGGAAGAGUCAGAAACAUCAAGAUAGCUCCUCUUAGCCGCAUCCCAAACUUCUUUAGAUGUCCCACUCUGAACAAAGUGCGACAUCAGAUUAUCAAUCAUGGAAUUAAUAAGCCAAGACUUGACAAGGGCAUCUUCAGCUUCCCAUUCAUCAUAGCCCAUAUCAUCUU
rnacentral:lncRNA from 1 species